ACUGAGAGAGGUGGAGUUAUCAACUUGCUUUCAUUACACAACAUUCUUGAUAAUCUUAGCGAAAUUGGUGUGGAGUACGUUGAGGUAGGGAUUUAGCAUUUUGAUAUCUGGCUUAUUUGGUAAUACAACUACAAGACGAGGAAAGUCAGGCUUACAUCAGUGAAACUUGAUGUUCAAAGCAAUGUGCAACUCACACCAACAUCUGUACCCAAG